AACGCUGGCGGCGUGCCUAACACAUGCAAGUCGAGCGAGGAGAUCCUUCGGGAUGAUCCUAGCGGCGGACGGGUGAGUAACACGUGGGCAACCUGCCUCAUAGAGAGGAAUAGCCUUCCGAAAGGGAGAUUAAUACCUCAUAACAUUGCAGUUUCGCAUGGAACAGCAAUUAAAGGAGUAAUCCGCUAUGAGAUGGGCCCGCGGCGCAUUAGCUAGUUGGUGAGGUAAUGGCUCACCAAGGCGACGAUGCGUAGCCGACCUGAGAGGGUGAUCGGCCACAUUGGGACUGAGACACGGCCCAGACUCCUACGGGAGGCAGCAGUGGGGAAUAUUGCACAAUGGGGGAAACCCUGAUGCAAGCAACGCCGCGUGAGUGAUGACGGCCUUCGGGUUGUAAAGCUCUGUCUUCAGGGACGAUAAUGACGGUACCUGAGGAGGAAGCCACGGCUAACUACGUGCCAGCCGCUGC
rnacentral:rRNA from 1 species